rnacentral:misc_RNA from 1 species
AGAGUAUGCUUGCUGAUGAAACCAAGCUAUUUGGAGGCUGAAGUGAAAGACAUGCCUGAAUUGAAGGAAGAGGCUACGGGAGAGGUGCCCAGUGUAAAUGACGAUGACGAUACUGCCAAGAAAUUCAACGAUAAGCCUGGUUUGACGGACGGUAAUGCAAGCUUCCUUCGUGCUGCCCGAGCUGGCAACUUGGAUAAAGUUUUUGACUACUUAAAAGGAAGCACCGACAUCAACACAAGCAAUGCGAACGGCCUGAAUGCUCUGCAUCUGAGUUCUAAAGAAGGUCAUUUGAAUAUCGUGACAGAAUUAUUGAAAAGAGGUGCUGAUGUUGAUGCAGCAACUAAGAAGGGAAAUACAGCACUGCAUAUUGCUUCACUAGCUGGACAGUUUGGAAUUGUGAAAGUACUUGUCAACUAUAGUGCAAAUGUCAACAUACAAUCCCAGAAUGGAUUCACUCCUCUAUAUAUGGCAGCUCAAGAGAAUCAUGUCGAUGUUGUCCAGUUUCUUCUAAAAAGUGGUGCCAACCAAAAUUUGGCCACUGAGGAUGGCUUUCGGCCGUUGGACGUGGCAACACAGCAGGGCCACCACGUUAUUGUGGCCCUGCUUUUGGAGUGUCAGCACUCCAAGCCUACGUCACUGCCGCAACCGCAACAACAGAUCUCCCAGUCAGAAUCGGAGGAUGGGUUUACCCCCUUAGCUGUAGCCCUGCAGCAGGGGCAUGAUAAGGUUGUAGCCGUUCUAUUGGAGAACGAUCGUGCUGGUAAGACUCGUCUGCCAGCUCUUCACAUCGCUGCCCGAAAAGAUGACUCAAAAGCGGCUGCGCUUCUACUUCAAAACGAACAUGACCCGGACGUGACCUCAAAGAGUGGUUUCACACCUUUACAUAUCGCUUCGCAUUACGGACAUGUCAAUGUGGCAAUUCUGCUCAUCCAGAAGGGCGCCACCAUAGAUUAUGCAGCAAAGAACAAUAUUACCCCCUUACACGUAGCAUCAAAGUGGGGGCGUGUCAACAUGAUUAACACUCUAUUGGACAGAGGAGCAAAGAUUGAUGCUAAGACAAGGGAUGGAUUGACUCCACUUCACUGCGCCGCUAGGAGUGGACAUGACCAGUCUGUAGACCAACUUAUAGAGCGUGGAGCUCCUGUCACAUCUAAGACCAAGAAUGGCUUGGCCCCACUACAUAUGGCAGCCCAAGGCGACCAUGUGGACAGUGCUAGACUCCUACUAUUCCACAAGGCUCCUGUCGAUGAUGUUACAGUUGACUAUUUGACACCACUGCAUGUGGCAGCGCAUUGUGGACAUCACAAAGUCGCUAAACUCCUUCUGGACAGAAAGGCAAAUCCUGACGCAAGAGCAUUGAAUGGAUUCACUCCAUUGCAUAUUGCCUGCAAAAAGAAUCGCAUUAAAGUUAUUGAACUGCUACUCAAGUAUGGUGCCUCGAUUCAGUCUACAACCGAUUCCGGCCUGACUCCACUUCAUGUGGCCGCCUUCAUGGGCAAUGCAGGAAACACAUUGUUCCUUCUUAAACACGGAGCCAUUAUUGAUGAGCCAAAUGUCCGUGGUGAGACUCCCCUUCAUCUUGCCGCCCGUGCUAACCAGAUUGAGAUAAUGCGUAUUCUAUUGAACAGUAAAGCUGUGGUCGAUGCCAGAGCUAACGAGAACCAGACGCCACUUCACAUCGCCGCUCGUCUGGGCAACGUGGAGGUUGUUACACUCUUGCUAGAGCAAGGCGCGAAUCCUGAUUCGCAAACAAAGGACUUGUACACAGCGCUACAUAUUGCAGCACGUGAAGGAAAGGAAGAUGUUGCCGCUGCUCUGCUCGAGCAUGGUGCAUCCCUCUCAAAGAAAACUAAGAAAGAGUUCACUCCUUUGCAUGUCGCUGCUAAAUAUGGUCGUUUGGGUGUCGCCUCUCUGCUGCUCAGACAUUGUGCAUCCCCCGAUGCAAAAGCCCAGAAUGAUUUGACUCCCCUCCAUAUUGCCGCCCAUUAUGAUCAUGUAGAUGUUGCAAUGCUGUUGUUAGACCAGAAAGCGUCUCCAAUAUCAGUUGCAAAGAAUGGCUUUACACCGCUCCAUAUUGCAGCUAAAAAGAACCAGAUUGAGAUAGCUACUACCCUUCUUGAGUACAACGCUGAUCCAAAUGCUGUCACCAAGCAUGGAAUUAGCCCAAUCCAUCUAGCAGCCCAGGAAGGCCACACAGACAUGUUGAGUCUGUUAAUAGAUAAAGGUGCUAGGCCUGGAAUAACAGCUAAGAAUGGUUUGACCCCUCUGCACUUGGCUGCACAAGAGGAUAAGGUCAACUGUGCUGCUAUCCUAGUCAAAAGUGGUUCCGAGAUUGACCCCAAGACUAAAGCUGGAUACACUCCACUCCAUAUUGCAUGCCACUAUGGAAACAUCAAAACAGCAAUAUUCCUUCUUCGCCAUGGAGCUGACAUCAAAUCUAAAACAAAACAUGGCAACACACCUCUGCAUCAAGCAGCUCAGCAGGGUCAUGUAGGGGUCAUCAACCAGUUGUUGGAGAAUGGAGCUGAUCCAAAUGAAACAGCCAAUAAUGGGUAUACCCCAUUAGGUGUUGCUAAGCGCCUCGGAUAUAUCUCGGUCAUCAACACACUGACCACAGUGACAACCCGCACAGAGACAAUCACCAUCACAACAACAACGGAGGAGAAGUUCAAAGUUCAAUGUCCUGAAAUAAUGGUUGUGAACUUUAUGUCUGAAGAUGAGGAUGAAGACGAAGAAAGUGGUGAUGACAUAUCAAUGACAGGAGACCACGGGACACUGACCGCAGAUGAGAUUAAAAUUCUGGGGGAUGAUUCCAUCGUACGUGACAACCGGCUCAUGGAACAGGAUUGGCUGGGAAUGGACCCAGAUAUGAAGUAUUACUCAGGAGCUGGUUCUCUGUCAGGCUACUACCGCCAGUCCUACACACCAUCCCGAGCCAGCACUAUAGGCCGUGGGGACGACAGCAUUCUUGGGCCGGAUCUUAUAGAAGGCGAGGUAAUCACAAUGUCCACACAGCAGAGUGCUUUUUCAGCUCCACCACCCCUUUCACACUCGACCCCAGGUCAUAACGGACACAUGAUUUUAAGUCCAGAUGAUGGAUGCCCUUCGUUCAAUGGAAUUGAUGGUCGGUCUACAGCUACCACUCACAGCUCCAUGCAGUCUGGUUUCUUGAUCAGCUUCAUGGUUGAUGCCCGCGGUGGCACCCUAAGCAGUUGCCGUAUGCCCGGCAUGCGCGUAGUUGUCCCGCCAAACAAGGCAACUGGACCUACAAGAGUUACUUGCCGUCUGGUCAAACACAGCAAGCUGAUAACGCAACCGCCCGUUAUGGAGAGUGAGGCACUAGCUAGCCGCAUUAUUGAGGUUGGCCCGUCGGGAGCACAAUUUCUCGGCGGAUUGGGCAAAAAACUGCUCACAUACCCUCCGCUGAGUGACGGAGAAAUGCUGGUGAGCCGUAUUCUCGAGAUGGGCCCAGUGUCCGAGAAGUUUUUAGGACCGGUGUUGCUGGAGGUGCCACACUUUGCUUCGUUGAGGAAUGGUCAACGGGAGAUUGUUGUGCUGCGCAGCGAUACUGGUGAGAACUGGAAGGAGCAUUCUCUGAAUGCCACUGAGGAAGAGGUUGCCAAGGCAUUGGAUGGCUACAAAGGAGAAGAUAACAACAUAGAUAGCAAACGAGUGUGCCGGAUUCUAACAAAGGACUUCCCACAAUACUUUGCCAUCAUCUCGCGUAUUAACCAGGAGACUAAUUCAAUUGGAACAAACGGUGGUGAACUGAGGUCACUCGUUGAACCCAAGGUCACUGCUAGUUUCCCAAUGGGAACACUCACUAAGAAAAUCAAAGUUGGACUACAGGUACAACCAGUGCCCCAUGAGGUUGUGAAGAAGGUACUUGGUAACCGUGUGAUGGUCAGUCCAAUAGUGACCAUUGAGCCAAGGCGCCGCAAAUUUCAUAAGCCGAUCACUGUAACGAUUCCGGUGCCAACAGCAUAUAACCAAGGCAUGGCUAAUGGAUACGGAAGUGACUCUCCAACUCUCCGUCUUCUAUGCAGUAUCACAGGUGGAACUGCACCUGCCCAGUGGGAAGACAUCACAGGGUCAACUCCCCUCUCAUUUUCCCAGGACUGCUGUGUAUCAUUCACAACAACUGUGUCAGCAAGGUUUUGGUUAAUGGAUUGCAAGGAGAUAGACCAGGCAAGCACAUUCUCUAGAGAACUGUAUCAAGAACUUCGUUCUGUGCCAUUCAUGAGUCGCUUCGCCGUCUUUGCAAAAACCCACGACCCACUAGAAUCCCGCGUACGUGUAUUCUGCUCAACAGACGACAGAAUCGAUAGGGGACACUUUGAAAAUCAAGAACAUUUUACUGAAGUAGCAAGAAGCAAAGAAGUUGAGGUUUUGGAAGGCCGGCCAGUUUACAUCGAACUAGCGGGCAACCUUCUGCCUGUCCAGAAAUCUGGUGACCAACUAAACAUGUCAUUCCACGCCUUCCACGACAAUCGUAUGACAUUCUUUGUACGUGUACGUGAUCAGUCACAAGAAGCUUGUGGUCGUUUGUCCUUCAUGCGUGAACCGAAAGUGACAAAAGGAAUGCCACCACAAAAAGCUAUGUGCAACCUAAAUGUAACAAUGCCUGAAUACGUCAAGGUCAAAAAAGAAAGUGAAUCGGAAUCAGAGUCCAGUGAGGAUGAAGAGGAAUACAGAAUGGAAAAGGGCGAGAGGGAGCUAUUUGAAGAGAAGGAGCAACUAGGAGUUUUAUCACAGCGAAACAUCUACACCAUCACUCAGGUUGAUGAGAGUGAUGAGUUCCUUUUAAAUCAGGAGGCCGCUGCAAAAAAUUUAAAUUUUGCUUCAAUAGCAGAGAGGAAAAAGUAUUCAUUCUUACAAGACCCAGUCAUGAGCCCAACAAGUUCACAUAUGAGAGCAGAGCUUAGACUAAUGGAUGUUGCUAAAAGGAUAGGCACAGAUUGGCAAAGGCUUGGCAGAGAACUCAAGGUGUUAGAGAAAGACCUCCAGACAAUUGAGAAUGAGAACGAUGUAAUUUCUGAGCAGGCAUUCGUCAUGCUUCAUAAUUGGUCAGAGAAGAGUGGACCUGAAGCAACAUGUGAAAAAUUGGAGGCUGCAUUGCAAGCAAUUGGACGAGGUGAGAUUGCUGAUGAAUGUUUGGGUGAAUUCAUCUCACUUGAUGUCACAAUUGAGCAAGAGGAAGAGAAGGAAAGGAGUUCACCAGAAGAGGAAACAAAUAAAUUUACAGAAGAAAAUGAAGCUGCUGCACAAGAUGACAUCAUGAAUGGGCAGGAGGAGGUGACUGAGACGGACUUAAAUCGUGAUGCUGCCCUCUCGCAGGAGGCUACUGAACAGAAGCUGCUCCAAGAGGAUUCUAAACCAAAGCAUGCUUUAGAUACUCAGGAUGAACUGUACACCGAUCGUGACAUGCAAGAGGCACUGACAGAACCCUAUGCUCCUGAGCAGAUUGAUGAGCUUGAUGAAAUGACACCUGCAGAAAUAUAUGAAGAAAUCAAAGAAGAAAUUUGGGAAAAACAUGAAGAAGAGAGACAAGAAAUGGUUUUUGAACCAGAGUUUGAGACAGUUGUAGAAGCACAGGAGGAAGAAAUAUUAGAAACUGAUCAGCAAGAAGAACCAAAGUCUUCAGAAAUAGUUAUUGCCGAGAAUCAGGAAUCCUUUAAGACACAGAUGGUCAGAUCAGAAAAAGUGCAGGACUUCCCAAGCAAAAACGAAUCUGAUUUUACUGCAUCAAUAAGGCAGGAACACAAUUUGGCCUUAGACCUGCCUUCUCCAGGAGAGGAAAAGGCUGCUCAAGAGUAUCGGUCCCCAAUUGAAAAAGAAUCUUAUAAGGAGUCCAAUAGGUCUCCCAGUGACAGACAAUUAUCACCAGAACAGUUAAAACAUGAGGAUCUAUCACAUGAUUAUUCACCAACAUCACACUCAUUUACAAAGUCAGUUAGUUCUGAUGAUGUUGUGCAAGAUGUGUCAGAGAAAUUUGAGAAAGAAGACAAAGAAAUUGUGAGCUCAAUGACAAAGAAACAACCUGGUGAGAAAAGAAUCCAAAUAGAUUUUGAGAAUGAGAAUUUUAAUAGAGAGACUACCAAUUUGAGAUCUGAAUAUAGUGAAAGUGCAUGGUCUGUUGAUUAUUCUGAAGAUACCUCUGUUAGUUGCUCUAGAGAAGACAGAACUGUGUCUAUUGUUAGUUCAGAGCCACAUUCUGCUGAUGGCCGCUCUGAGUCAACGGUUGAGGAUGUUGAAGAUCAGUCAACACUUGAGGAUGUUGAAGAUAUUCCUCAAUUUGAAUCAGAAGGCGAUGGCCAGGAUCAUAAAUUUAGUAAGAUAAACCUUAAAGAUCAAUCUGAUUUUGCUUCAGUGACAAAAGUAGAGGAAGAUGCCCCCAAGGAUUUUAGCCCAUGUUGGCAAAAAGACUUUUUGAAAAAAGGAAAAGCUGUUGAGGAGGAGAUUACAGUUAAACAGCAGUCAAUUGAUGAAAGUAUUAGUGCAGCAUUCCGUCCAACUCCCUUGUCUAGCCCAGAAGAUGAGGCUUCAAUUAACAGGCUUGGUUCUGGAAAAGCAGAAUUAUUUGUGGAUGAAAGCAAAGUGGUGUUAGAGGAUGCUGAAGUGAAAGAGCCCUAUCCUAUGUCUUUUUCUAGGCCUAAUGUUGGUAAACUGAAAGCACUAUUUGAACCCAAAUUGGAAGACGUUGAUCGUUCUGGCAAGAAAAUUAAACCUAAGUUACCAAAGGUAAAAAAAUUGGAUUCUGUUUCAACUCGACAAAUUAAUCCAACUGUUGCUGCUAGGAAAUCCUUUGCUAAUGAUGAUGUUGAAAGUGCUUCAAAAGUUUUGUUAAGCUCAACAGAAGAAACAGUCUUGGAUGAGGUUUUAAUCAGUAGAAAAGAGGAAGAGAUAAAAGCAGAUACAAAAGAGUUGACACCACAACAAGUUGAUGGGAAACAAAUGGAAGUAGUUACACAUGUUAUGAUGCCCCAGCAAGACACAAUUGAUGAUUAUAGGAAUUUGGUUUCUUCUACCUCAAAACCAACAUCCUUAGACAAAGAUGUAGACACAGUUGCUGCUCCAAUAGAUAGUUGCAAAGAAACAGAAGUUAGAGGUUCUGAAAAUGCUCAGGCUGAAAAUAUUGGAAGCUCAAUUGUUUAUAAGCAAAGUCUAGUUAAAGAGGCUUGUACAUUUGAAGAGCAAAUGAUUGCCUCUAAACCUGAGGAGGCAUCACCAAAAAGUCCAUUAGUUGAUAUGAGAAAAAGACAUGUUAUUGAAGAGUCUAUCAUUGCAAAGCAAAGCUCAGUUGAUGAAAAUGUUAAUUCUGUUUUUCGUGCUGGCCCAAUGGCUCUCUCUAGCCCAGAAGAUAAAAUAGAUAUUGCAAGUUCAGCUUCUGCAGAAGUCACUGAUGUUAAAAAUCAAGACUACUCUGUUGGAACUGAUGAUGGUAUGACUAUAAAAGGGGAGGACAUUCCUCAUAAAGAGAUUGAGCCAGAGCAGAAAACUCAGGAUGAUAUUCAGGCUACAAAAGAUAUUCUGACUAACAAACGAAUUUCAACUGAAAAAAUAGAAUAUUCAGAAACUACUAUUGUAAGGUCGGAUUUUCAGGCUACUUCAGAUUUUAAAUGUGAUUCUGAUGAGCGAAUUUCUACUCAAACGAUUGAAAAUUCUGAAAUUCCUUUAAUGACAAAGACCAAAGAAAGUGCCAUCAGUUCCAAUGUAGGCUUUGAAGAAAGACAGGAAACAAAAUCUAGUGAUAGUAAAGAAGUUGAGCUUGCAAUUCUAUCCCCUGAAGCAUAUGAAGGCCAAAGAACAGAUCAGUCUGAAGAAUCUAUCUGCACAGUUGGAGAAACCAGCAAAGUUCAAACAACAACAGAACACUUUUUAGUGGCGUCACAAACUAAUAUUUCCAAGUUUUCUCAUAAAUCUAUUUCUGAAAGUGAUGUAAGAACCUUUGAAAGUGAUAUUACCUCAGAUAGUUUUAAAGAGAAUGUUGCUAAGUCUAAUAUUAAUAUCAAGAAGGAAAGCUUCAUUGAGAGUUCCAUGACAGAUGACGAUGGAAAUAUAUUGCCAAUCAUGAAGCAUGUCUCUGAAUCAGUCGAUCAUGAAGUUAGAGAUACAGAUGAAUGUGUGACACAGACUAUCACAAAAAUUGGUAUUGAAAAUAGUGACCUAGAACUGCAGCUGGAAUCAGUGGAAGGUGACAAUUCUGAUGUAGCUACUGAUAGAACUUCCAUUAAAGAUGAGCACCCUUCCAUAGAUGACCAGGCUGUUGAUAUAAAAGAACCUAUUAUCAAUAUGGUUUCUCAGGCACAAGAUGAAUUGCCUAAUCAGGAUUUAGAACAGUACCCCGAGUCAGUGGAAGUUGAUAGUGCUGUAUACGAGGAAAUAAAAAAAAGUGAGGAUGAUGCUAAAAUUGAUGUUGAUGAAACUGUUGAAAAACUUGAAUAUCCAGAAUCUAAAGAGAUUCAUGAUGUGACUAUUGUAAAGAAGGUUGAUGCUACAGUUGUUGAGAAAGAGUUUUUGGAAUUUGAAAAAGAUGAAUAUGCUGAGUCUGAAGAGGCUAAUGUUUUUACUGUUGAAAGUGAUGUUGAUGCCUCAGCUAAUGAAGAAGAAUUUUUGGAAUCUGAGAAGGAUCGGUAUCCUAAAGAGAUUGAUGAUAUAUCUGCUGAAAAGGAGUUUGAUGCUGUAGGUGUUGAAGAAGAGUUUAUACAAUCUGAGUGGGAUCAAUAUCCAGAAUCUGAGGGGAUAGAUGGUGUAACUGGUGUAAAGGAGAUUCAUACUGCAGUUGAGAAAGAAGAUUUUGUGGUUGUUGAUGUAGUUGUUAAAGAAGGGUUCAUGAAAUCUGAGGAUGAUCAACAUCCAGAAUCAGGAGGAAAGGUUGAUGAUGUAGCAGUUGAUAAAGAAAUUGAUGCUAAAUUUGUGUUCAUGGAAUCUGAACAAGAUCAGUAUCCAGAAUGUGAAGAGGUUGAGGAUGUAACUGUUGAAAAAGAGGUUGAUGUUGCAGUUGAAGAGCAGUUCAUGAAAUAUGAGGAUGAUCAAUAUCCAGAAUCAGGAGAGGUUGAUAAUGUAACAGUUGAACAAGAAAGUGCUACAUUUGUUGAACAAGUGUUUGUGGAAUCAGAACAAGAUCAAUAUCCAGAAACAGAAGAGAUUAAGAGUGUAACUGUUGAAAAAGAGGUUGAUGAUGCAGUUGUUGAAAAAGAGUUCAUGGAAUCUGAGGAUGAUCUAUAUCCUGAAUCAAGUCAUGUUGAUAAUGUCACAGUUAAAAAAGAGGUUGAUGCUAAAGCUGUUGAACAGCUGUUAGUGGAUGUAACUAUUGAAAAGGAGGUUGAUGAUGAAGUGGGGAACCAGUGGACGAAGCUCUCAAUUUCGAUGUCAGUAUUGGUGCCUCUCAGGAGAAACAUGUGAUGACCGAAGAAGAGAUGGAUCAGCUGACUAAUGCUAUGAACGAAAUUGCCAAGUCAGAAGAAGAUGCUCUCCUAUCAACUGAAUUUAAUGAGGUACCUGGUAUGGAAAAUGGAGGUGCAGCUGUCGAGGAGGACACACUUGAUUCAAACAGUGCUGAAGUAAAUCUAAACAUUGACCUAAAUCAGUUGAGUGCCGG